rnacentral:rRNA from 1 species
GGGUUGUGAGGUUAAGCGACUAAGCGUACACGGUGGAUGCCCUGGCAGUCAGAGGCGAUGAAGGACGUGCUAAUCUGCGAUAAGCGUCGGUAAGGUGAUAUGAACCGUUAUAACCGGCGAUUUCCGAAUGGGGAAACCCAGUGUGAUUCGUCACACUAUCAUUAACUGAAUCCAUAGGUUAAUGAGGCGAACCGGGGGAACUGAAACAUCUAAGUACCCCGAGGAAAAGAAAUCAACCGAGAUUCCCCCAGUAGCGGCGAGCGAACGGGGAGCAGCCCAGAGCCUGAAUCAGUGUGUGUGUUAGUGGAAGCGUCUGGAAAGGCGCGCGAUACAGGGUGACAGCCCCGUACACAAAAAUGCACAUAUUGUGAGCUCGAUGAGUAGGGCGGGACACGUGGUAUCCUGUCUGAAUAUGGGGGGACCAUCCUCCAAGGCUAAAUACUCCUGACUGACCGAUAGUGAACCAGUACCGUGAGGGAAAGGCGAAAAGAACCCCGGCGAGGGGAGUGAAAAAGAACCUGAAACCGUGUACGUACAAGCAGUGGGAGCACGCUUCGGCGUGUGACUGCGUACCUUUUGUAUAAUGGGUCAGCGACUUAUAUUCUGUAGCAAGGUUAACCGAAUAGGGGAGCCGAAGGGAAACCGAGUCUUAACUGGGCGUUAAGUUGCAGGGUAUAGACCCGAAACCCGGUGAUCUAGCCAUGGGCAGGUUGAAGGUUGGGUAACACUAACUGGAGGACCGAACCGACUAAUGUUGAAAAAUUAGCGGAUGACUUGUGGCUGGGGGUGAAAGGCCAAUCAAACCGGGAGAUAGCUGGUUCUCCCCGAAAGCUAUUUAGGUAGCGCCUCGUGAAUUCAUCUCCGGGGGUAGAGCACUGUUUCGGCAAGGGGGUCAUCCCGACUUACCAACCCGAUGCAAACUGCGAAUACCGGAGAAUGUUAUCACGGGAGACACACGGCGGGUGCUAACGUCCGUCGUGAAGAGGGAAACAACCCAGACCGCCAGCUAAGGUCCCAAAGUCAUGGUUAAGUGGGAAACGAUGUGGGAAGGCCCAGACAGCCAGGAUGUUGGCUUAGAAGCAGCCAUCAUUUAAAGAAAGCGUAAUAGCUCACUGGUCGAGUCGGCCUGCGCGGAAGAUGUAACGGGGCUAAACCAUGCACCGAAGCUGCGGCAGCGACACUAUGUGUUGUUGGGUAGGGGAGCGUUCUGUAAGCCUGUGAAGGUGUACUGUGAGGUAUGCUGGAGGUAUCAGAAGUGCGAAUGCUGACAUAAGUAACGAUAAAGCGGGUGAAAAGCCCGCUCGCCGGAAGACCAAGGGUUCCUGUCCAACGUUAAUCGGGGCAGGGUGAGUCGACCCCUAAGGCGAGGCCGAAAGGCGUAGUCGAUGGGAAACAGGUUAAUAUUCCUGUACUUGGUGUUACUGCGAAGGGGGGACGGAGAAGGCUAUGUUGGCCGGGCGACGGUUGUCCCGGUUUAAGCGUGUAGGCUGGUUUUCCAGGCAAAUCCGGAAAAUCAAGGCUGAGGCGUGAUGACGAGGCACUACGGUGCUGAAGCAACAAAUGCCCUGCUUCCAGGAAAAGCCUCUAAGCAUCAGGUAACAUCAAAUCGUACCCCAAACCGACACAGGUGGUCAGGUAGAGAAUACCAAGGCGCUUGAGAGAACUCGGGUGAAGGAACUAGGCAAAAUGGUGCCGUAACUUCGGGAGAAGGCACGCUGAUAUGUAGGUGAAGUCCCUCGCGGAUGGAGCUGAAAUCAGUCGAAGAUACCAGCUGGCUGCAACUGUUUAUUAAAAACACAGCACUGUGCAAACACGAAAGUGGACGUAUACGGUGUGACGCCUGCCCGGUGCCGGAAGGUUAAUUGAUGGGGUCAGCGCAAGCGAAGCUCUUGAUCGAAGCCCCGGUAAACGGCGGCCGUAACUAUAACGGUCCUAAGGUAGCGAAAUUCCUUGUCGGGUAAGUUCCGACCUGCACGAAUGGCGUAAUGAUGGCCAGGCUGUCUCCACCCGAGACUCAGUGAAAUUGAACUCGCUGUGAAGAUGCAGUGUACCCGCGGCAAGACGGAAAGACCCCGUGAACCUUUACUAUAGCUUGACACUGAACAUUGAGCCUUGAUGUGUAGGAUAGGUGGGAGGCUUAGAAGUGUGGACGCCAGUCUGCAUGGAGCCGACCUUGAAAUACCACCCUUUAAUGUUUGAUGUUCUAACGUUGACCCGUGAUCCGGGUUGCGGACAGUGUCUGGUGGGUAGUUUGACUGGGGCGGUCUCCUCCUAAAGAGUAACGGAGGAGCACGAAGGUUGGCUAAUCCUGGUCGGACAUCAGGAGGUUAGUGCAAUGGCAUAAGCCAGCUUGACUGCGAGCGUGACGGCGCGAGCAGGUGCGAAAGCAGGUCAUAGUGAUCCGGUGGUUCUGAAUGGAAGGGCCAUCGCUCAACGGAUAAAAGGUACUCCGGGGAUAACAGGCUGAUACCGCCCAAGAGUUCAUAUCGACGGCGGUGUUUGGCACCUCGAUGUCGGCUCAUCACAUCCUGGGGCUGAAGUAGGUCCCAAGGGUAUGGCUGUUCGCCAUUUAAAGUGGUACGCGAGCUGGGUUUAGAACGUCGUGAGACAGUUCGGUCCCUAUCUGCCGUGGGCGCUGGAGAACUGAGGGGGGCUGCUCCUAGUACGAGAGGACCGGAGUGGACGCAUCACUGGUGUUCGGGUUGUCAUGCCAAUGGCACUGCCCGGUAGCUAAAUGCGGAAGAGAUAAGUGCUGAAAGCAUCUAAGCACGAAACUUGCCCCGAGAUGAGUUCUCCCUGACUCCUUGAGAGUCCUGAAGGAACGUUGAAGACGACGACGUUGAUAGGCCGGGUGUGUAAGCGCAGCGAUGCGUUGAGCUAACCGGUACUAAUGAACCGUGAGGCUUAACCUUACAACGCCGAAGCUGUU